rnacentral:rRNA from 1 species
GACGAACGCUGGCGGCGUGCCUAAUACAUGCAAGUAGAACGCAGUUGCGAACGGGUGAGUAACGCGUAGGUAACUGCCUGGUAGCGGGGGAUAACUAUUGGAAACGAUAGCUAAUACCGCAUACUACCAGAUGGACCUGCGUUGUAUUAGCGAGUUGGUGGGGUAACGGCUCACCAAGGCAACGAUACAUGGCCGACCUGGUGGUGUGAUCGGCCACACUGGGACUGAGACACGGCCCAGACUCCUACGGGAGGAAGCAGGAGGGAAGCGUCGGCAAUGGGGGGAACCCUGACCGGGCAACGCCGCGUGAGUGAAGAAGGUUUUCGGAUCGUAAAGCUCUGUUGUUAAGGAAGCGGUACUUAACCAGAAAGGGACGGCUAACUACGUGCCAGCAGCCGCGGUAAUAC